AACGAACGCUGGCGGCAGGCCUAACACAUGCAAGUCGAACGAUAAGCCACCUUCGGGUGGUGGACAGUGGCAGACGGGUGAGUAACGCGUGGGAACGUGCCUUUCGGUUCGGAAUAACCCAGGGAAACUUGGGCUAAUACCGGAUACGCCCUUCGGGGGAAAGAUUCAUUGCCGAAAGAUCGGCCCGCGUCGGAUUAGCUAGUUGGUGGGGUAAUGGCCUACCAAGGCGACGACGGGUAGCCGGCCUGAGAGGGCGACCGGCCACACUGGGACUGAGACACGGCCCAGACUCCUACGGGAGGCUG
rnacentral:rRNA from 1 species